UAAAUCCACUCAGUUUGAGACAAUGCUAGAAGAACACGCCUCCUUAUCAGAGUAUUGCCGGCGAGUUCAAACAGCCACGCGCGCCGAGUUCAAGACGGCGCUGGAGGAACAAACUCCCUUUCAUGAGUAUCGUUGGUGGGUAUAAAAUAGUGGCUCAUUAGAGAAUAUUUUAUCUUCGUUGGUUGGUAUAAAAUAUUGCCUCUUGAGAGCUAAUUCGCCCUGCCGAUCUGGUAAUUUUCAACUGAACUUUCAAUAUCGAUCUUCUACCAUACUAACAAUUGAUUCUAAGUGAGCUUGACGAUUUUAUAAUUACUUUUGUUAUUUUGAUGAAACUAUAAUUUUACUUUUGUUGAUGCCCAGUAUGCAUUUACCAACAAAACUUGGGAUCUAUCACAUGCCAAGGUUGUUUUUUAUUCUAAGUAUGAAAAUGAGUUUGGGUACUAGUGAAAAUUGAAUUUAUUUUAGCGAAGAUAUUAGUGGAUUAUGGUCUGAGUAGGAUUGAGAUAAUUUGUCUGUGUGUGUGGUAUUGAGUGAGAGUUAAUUAUUGCUUUCUCAACAUGUGGAUACUGGUCGCUUGAUCACGUAAGAGAUAUUGCUCGAUCACCACACAUUAAUUUCUUAGUCAGAUAAUUAUGCUAUCUGUUUUUGUGAAAGAUUGUUAGUUGAUUCUUGGAAUUGCAGUAAUUAUGGACUCUCAUAGGAAUGAGCGUGUAGUCAUUCUCUAUGUUGUCUGUUAUAAAGCUUAAGGAUUGAGGCUCCUAACCUGAUGUAUAAAAUAUAAUGAACAAAUGGAAAUCCUUCCAUUUGAGCUACCAAAUGAAAAGGUACGAAGUCAAAUUAUAUUUUUGUUUGGGUACGCUUUUGUGUAUGCAUAAGAAUCAUGAUGCUGAAACGUUUAUAUGGAUAACGUCUGAGGCGGGCCGUUGCUUCUCAUAUAUACUCAUACGCAUAAUAAAGAAAUUCUUUUUCCUUCUGUUCGGUUUGGCAGGGUUCACUGCAAAAGUCUGAUGAGUGUUGGGACAUGGUUGUUUUGUGUUGGUUUGUUCUCACCAAAUAAGCAAGCUAGAUGGAUUCGAUGCAUUUUCGAGCCAUGCAGAGUUUGGUUUGGCAGGCUUUUUGGAGGUGGGUUGGUAUUUUUGAUAUGGUAUAUUUUUGGGCAUGGUUUGAUGCCCCAUUUUACUAUUGUCUUUUCUGUCUUGCUGGGUAGAGUUUGUGUUGGGUGAUGGGUUUGGUUGCUGGGAAGUAUGUGCGGCUUGGUUUCUGCAAUAAUUGAGUUUUGUUGGGUUGUUUUGGGUCUCUUUUGUGACCCUUGGCCAUGAACAAUGAGUUGAUGUUCUGCAUUUACAUUUUACAGGCAUUGAGAUGCUCAGAAUUUUUAUAUAUGACCAUUUAUUUUUGUGUAUUUCACAGGAAUCAUAUCUGUCCUAAGCUUCUAACCUACUCGAUGAUUAUAAGAAAAGUAAUUUUUAAUUAAUGCAUAUAUGCCAACAUGAACAUUAUAUGUACAGUAUAUGCUUCACAUUUAUAAAUUGGUCUCUUUUUUCUAUGUUGUGAUGCUUGAAGGCACCGUCUUAGACUUGGAGUUAUAAAGGGUAGAACUUCUUAAAGGAUGUAACUUAAUUGUGUAUGUUAUAUCACAAUAGGCAACUGAGUUUUCUUUAUUCUGCUAUGCCUGGAGAUGACAAUGAGGUAUAUUAGAUAGUUGGAUAGUAAAAUGGAGAGAAUGAAAUUUUCUUAUGAGACAAUGUUUUCUAAUGAAAUGAGUGAUGAUUUGUGUGCAAUCUUCUGUUUUUUUAUGAUUCAUUUUUCUCUGUUGAUUACUGUAGAUUGUUGACGGCAGAUUGAUCUUCGUCGAAGUAGUGAAAACUAUAAAACUUGGAGAUGGAUAAGGAUAGUUACACCUUAUGAGAGAAGUGUCAUUUUGUUGUACUCUUUACUUGGUCGUUCUGUCGGUCAAGUGUGUUAAGUUACACAUUAUUU
rnacentral:lncRNA from 1 species